GACGAACGCUGGCGGCGUGCUUAACACAUGCAAGUCGAACGAAGUGGCGAACGGGUGAGUAACGCGUAAUCAACCUGCCCUUCAGCGGGGGACAACAGUUGGAAACGACUGCUAAUACCGCAUACUGAAGUAGGGGAUUGCGUCGGAUUAGCUAGUUGGAGGGGUAACGGCCCACCAAGGCGAUGAUCAGUAGCAGGGCUGGGAGGAUGAACGGCCAAAUUGGGACUGAGAAACGGCACAGAGUCCGACGGGAGGCAGCAGGGGGGAAUCUUCCGAAAUGGACGAAAGUCUGACGGAGCAACGCCGCGUGAGUGAUGACGGCCUUCGGGUUGUAAAGCUCUGUUAAUCGGGACGCGGUACCGGAAUAGAAAGCAACGGCUAACUACGUGCCAGCCGCCGCGGUAAUUC
rnacentral:rRNA from 1 species